UUCAAAAACAACAAAAAGAACGGAAAGAACGGAAAGAACCUCCACAGAGACAGAAACAUAAGGCGGAAAAUUAGGUGACAGGUCAAAAACAACAAAAAGAACGGAAAGAACGGAAAGAACGUAAAGAACCUCCACAGAGACAGAAACAUAGGGCAGAAAACUAGGUGACAAUUCAAAAAGAACUGAAAGAACGGAAAGAACGGAAAGAACCUCCACAGAGACAGAAACAUGGGGCAGAAAAUAAGGUGACAGUUCGGAAAGAACGGAAAGAACCUCCACAGAGACAGAAACAUAGGGCAGAAAAUUUGGUGACAGUUCAAAAACAACAACAGAAAGAACGGAAAGAAC
ensembl:lncRNA